CUUUCUGCUACCUGGUAUAAUAGCCCACCAUUCCACAUAAAUCUUUCCCCCUCUAAUCCUGCAUGACUGGUGGCUACCUUAUCUCUGUACUUCUGCAGGGAGGGAUCAGAUGCUACCUUCCUUUUCAAUGGCCUCUGGAGUAUUCCAGGAAAGGGGGGCUGGGGUUACAGUAACGCGACGUCAUCCUACCCGAGCCUCGGAUUGAGAGCGAUCCUGAGCGGUUCUGGCUUGUAGUCAUGUGGUAAAGUUCCUCAUCGUCUGGACGAAGUACAAAGGUGGAGGUCAACAGGCCCAG